rnacentral:tRNA from 1 species
UGGAGCCUCAAACCCCCUUCAAACACACAGGUU